GAUGAACGCUGGCGGUAUGCUUAACACAUGCAAGUCGUACGAAGAUAAAAUUGUGCUUGCACGAUUUUAUACUUAGUGGCGGACGGGUGAGUAACACGUAAGAAUCUACCUUUUGGCGAGGGACAACCACUGGAAACGGUGGCUAAUACCUCAUAUAACUGAGAAGUGAAAGAUGAAAAUCACCAAGAGAUGAGCUUGCGUCUGAUUAGCUAGUUGGUAAGGUAAAGGCUUACCAAGGCGACGAUCAGUAGCUGGUCUGAGAGGAUGAUCAGCCACACUGGGACUGAGACACGGCCCAG
rnacentral:rRNA from 1 species